UGGUGGAUUUGAACGGACCAAUCAGCGCGCUGCAUUUGUUUGAGGACCCGUCGCACUCGGUGGUUCGCGUUUUUUUCCAGCUAUCCCGCUCAGGUUGUGCAGAGACUUCAUCAUCCAACCUUCUCCAUCAGAGCGGCUCUCUUUCUCAGAGUGAAAAUCCAGCUAUCAUUGGACCGGAGCGGACUCCAGAAACAUAUCAAUCUGCCACUCAACAGCUGGAGAGAGAGGAUGUGACAGAAGUACAGGGGAUUAAGUUCAGAUAUGAUGGAUACACAAAAGGACAUCCGUGAUGCCAUACGAGCAGUGCUUCCUGGCCUUUCACAGGAAGUUUUGGCUGCUUUAGAGGAUGUGUUGGAGAACCUCGGCACUACAACCACAGAUGAUUUACAAUAUAUCACUGAAGGAGACUUAUUGCCUGUGCUGAAGCCCAUACAGGCCAGAAGACUGGUUGCUGCGUGGGCCCAAAAUAAACAACAAUGUACAGCUUCUCAUUUACACCUGGUAGUUCCUGUGCAGGGGACAGACAACAGUCUGUUAGAAAAGGAAACACUCUACAUUAACAGUUACCUAACAUUACUUUACACAGACUCAAUGGCUUCAACUUCAGGCGGGGCAUCCUCCUCUCCACAGUCCGUUCAGUCCUCUCAAUCUGCAGCCUCACUUUCACAACCAUCGUCUGCUGCUAUUUCAUCACCUUCACUGAGCUGCUCCCCAGUUUUGCCAACCUGGGUUGACAGUUUUCAGAUACCGUGGCAGAAGCUCCCGGAAGAGCUGAUACAAACUUUGGAACGACAGAAAAGGCCAAGUGCACGACUUCGAAGAUAAAUGGUGAGGAUUAUUGUCUCUGAAAUGAUGCAGAUUUGCAAGAAUCCAACCAAACGCAACACUACUGAAAUAGCAGAAAGGAUGGUGAGCAGAUAUCCAAAGUCACUUAAGGAUGCCAUUGAUGGUGACGUUAUUGGACUUGGUUAUCAUUCCCUGGUAAAACAACUCCAGGCUAGAAUUGAAAAUGUCAAACGACAAUACACACCAAAGAUAACUAAACGCAAGGCAAAAUCAGAUAACGACACUGAUGAGAUACCUGCUGAGCAAAAAGCCAGUGUUCAAGACACGUAUGGCUGUGUCAACUGGGAGCCAAAGUUUUUGCCCCUUUCUGAGACUGUAGAGAGUCAGCUUAAGAGAAAAGAAGACAUGAAAAACAUGUUCAAAGACAAAAAUUACGCUGCAGAAGAUGUGAAAGAACUUAUCAAGUCCACCUUUUACACACAACGAAAGGACAUCAAUAAAGGUACAAGCAUCCUAAAGUUAUGCCAAGAAUGGCCUUUUUUGUUCCACAAAACUGACAUGGCAGAACACUUCCAGCAAUUUACUGGCAUCAAUCUGAUGGAAGCCUUCUUCACCAAUCUGGACAAAAAAGGGGAGUGCAUCCUCAACUUCCUUAAAACUGUUUUUGCUCAGAAAUAAAACCAAGUUCUGGAGUCUCUCCUCAAGUUAGCAAAUGAAAAGGUCGGUCCAGUGGUUGUACAGAGAUGAUUCUUCUUCUACUUGCUUUUUUUGGUGAGAAGGAAGAGCAUAUGUUCCACUAUGUUGAGAAGACGAGCCUUGCUGAAGAGGUUGAGAUGGAGGAUGUGCCAGCAACACCCUGCCUUAUUGUGUGUGGGUCCUCUUGCUUUACUGCGGACUGCUUCAUGUUGAGCGUUGAUCAGAAGAUUGUCAAUGACGACAUCACUGCCUUCUCCUGUGCAUCUGCCUGAUGUUUGGCAAUUACUAUUGUUUUAAUAUACACUACCCAGUGGGACUGCAGUCAACACUGGAGUUCCUCCAGAGGUGUUUCUUUUCAAUAAAUCCGGAAAGAGGAACAAAAGUUGAGCACAGCAAGAGGAGGAAGAUCUUUGCGGUCAACCCAAGAGUCCUCACACUCAUCGCUGACCUUGCAGACCAUGAGUGGACUUAGACCAUACUUUUGCACUUACCUUUUCUUUGUGAAGGAAAGGAUAUGGGACCAGACAAUGAAGAAAAAUAAAACUUGGAAGAUUACAUAUUUGCGUGGUGAUGUUACCACUGGAGAAGGGGUGAAGCACCAUUUCUUCAUCUUACUGAUGAACAAAUCGCAGUUUGGAUUUUCCAAAGAUUUUAACAAGUCUUUUGGGCCUAUUUGGAUUUUAUAUUUAAUAACCUUUGCUACAAUCAUGCCAUGCAGAACUUUAAAUAUAUUCUUGCAAAAACAUUGUAUUUCUUAUAAUUAUUCUUUGCUUUUUUGUCUCUAUCCAUGCAGGAAAUUGCUCUGGUAAUUUAUUUUUUGAGGCAUAUUUAUUUUUUCUGUGACAUUCUCAUGUCAGAAAAUGGUAGAACGCAGCUCUCAUGUAUUCAUUUCAAUCUUAUCACUGUCAUUUGACUAUUCAGUUGUAUUGAGUCAUUUCACUUUGUAAACAUAUAUUCAGAUCUUUUUUUACAUUCAGAUGUGUGAUUAUGAGCUACCUAUGCCGCUAAGCAGAUAUGAACAAGUUUUUUCUUAUCUUUAAAAUGUGAGGUCUUUCGGAAAUGUGUAAAUUUUUAACUGUAAUUUUAGCUGUUUUACAAUUUAUAAAACAUGUCUUUAUAUAUUGA